CCAUCUCCUCCGCAAAAUAGUCCGGGAGCAGGAGCUAGGUGCGAGGGUUGCCCUCCAUCCAUACAAUGACUUCGCGGGCCACGACGGGGGAGCUACUUCGCGACCUGGGAGGCAGGGUAUCUCUGCCGUACUGGUGGUCCCGUCCGCGACCGCCUCACCCCCCCUUGCCCACGUCCACGAGCGAAACCUCUCCCAUGGAUGCUCGGGUUGACACGAGCCACCGAUGGGGAGUGCCCGCGUCCCUCGAGAGGUGUCGUG
rnacentral:lncRNA from 1 species